rnacentral:rRNA from 1 species
UUAAGCGACUAAGCGUACACGGUGGAUGCCCUGGCAGUCAGAGGCGAUGAAGGACGUGCUAAUCUGCGAAAAGCGUCGGUAAGGUGAUAUGAACCGUUAUAACCGGCGAUGUCCGAAUGGGGAAACCCAGUGCAAUUCGUUGCACUAUCGUUAACUGAAUACAUAGGUUAACGAGGCGAACCGGGGGAACUGAAACAUCUAAGUACCCCGAGGAAAAGAAAUCAACCGAGAUUCCCCCAGUAGCGGCGAGCGAACGGGGAGCAGCCCAGAGUCUGAAUCAGCUUGUGUGUUAGUGGAACGGUCUGGAAAGUCCGACGGUACAGGGUGAUAGUCCCGUACACCAAAAUGCACAGGCUGUGAACUCGAAGAGUAGGGCGGGACACGUGGUAUCCUGUCUGAAUAUGGGGGGACCAUCCUCCAAGGCUAAAUACUCCUGACUGACCGAUAGUGAACCAGUACCGUGAGGGAAAGGCGAAAAGAACCCCGGCGAGGGGAGUGAAAAAGAACCUGAAACCGUGUACGUACAAGCAGUGGGAGCACCUUCGGGUGUGACUGCGUACCUUUUGUAUAAUGGGUCAGCGACUUAUAUUCUGUAGCAAGGUUAACCGUAUAGGGGAGCCGCAGGGAAACCGAGUCUUAACUGGGCGUUAAGUUGCAGGGUAUAGACCCGAAACCCGGUGAUCUAGCCAUGGGCAGGUUGAAGGUUGGGUAACACUAACUGGAGGACCGAACCGACUAAUGUUGAAAAAUUAGCGGAUGACUUGUGGCUGGGGGUGAAAGGCCAAUCAAACCGGGAGAUAGCUGGUUCUCCCCGAAAGCUAUUUAGGUAGCGCCUCGUGAACUCAUCUUCGGGGGUAGAGCACUGUUUCGGCUAGGGGGUCAUCCCGACUUACCAACCCGAUGCAAACUACGAAUACCGAAGAAUGUUAUCACGGGAGACACACGGCGGGUGCUAACGUCCGUCGUGAAGAGGGAAACAACCCAGACCGCCAGCUAAGGUCCCAAAGUCAUGGUUAAGUGGGAAACGAUGUGGGAAGGCACAGACAGCCAGGAUGUUGGCUUAGAAGCAGCCAUCAUUUAAAGAAAGCGUAAUAGCUCACUGGUCGAGUCGGCCUGCGCGGAAGAUGUAACGGGGCUAAACCAUGCACCGAAGCUGCGGCAGCGACACUAUGUGUUGUUGGGUAGGGGAGCGUUCUGUAAGCCUGCGAAGGUGUGCUGUGAGGCAUGCUGGAGGUAUCAGAAGUGCGAAUGCUGACAUAAGUAACGAUAAAGCGGGUGAAAAGCCCGCUCGCCGGAAGACCAAGGGUUCCUGUCCAACGUUAAUCGGGGCAGGGUGAGUCGACCCCUAAGGCGAGGCCGAAAGGCGUAGUCGAUGGGAAACAGGUUAAUAUUCCUGUACUUGGUGUUACUGCGAAGGGGGGACGGAGAAGGCUAUGUUAGCCGGGCGACGGUUGUCCCGGUUUAAGCAUGUAGGCUGGUUGUCCAGGCAAAUCCGGAUAAUCAAGGCUGAGGUGUGAUGACGAGGCACUACGGUGCUGAAGUAACAAAUGCCCUGCUUCCAGGAAAAGCCUCUAAGCAUCAGGUAACAUCAAAUCGUACCCCAAACCGACACAGGUGGUCAGGUAGAGAAUACCAAGGCGCUUGAGAGAACUCGGGUGAAGGAACUAGGCAAAAUGGUGCCGUAACUUCGGGAGAAGGCACGCUGGUGUGUAGGUGAAGUGAGGAAUGGAGCUGAGACCAGUCGAAGAUACCAGCUGGCUGCAACUGUUUAUUAAAAACACAGCACUGUGCAAACACGAAAGUGGACGUAUACGGUGUGACGCCUGCCCGGUGCCGGAAGGUUAAUUGAUGGGGUUAUCCGUAAGGAGAAGCUCUUGAUCGAAGCCCCGGUAAACGGCGGCCGUAACUAUAACGGUCCUAAGGUAGCGAAAUUCCUUGUCGGGUAAGUUCCGACCUGCACGAAUGGCGUAAUGAUGGCCAGGCUGUCUCCACCCGAGACUCAGUGAAAUUGAACUCGCUGUGAAGAUGCAGUGUACCCGCGGCAAGACGGAAAGACCCCGUGAACCUUUACUAUAGCUUGACACUGAACAUUGAGCCUUGAUGUGUAGGAUAGGUGGGAGGCUUUGAAGCGUGGACGCCAGUCUGCGUGGAGCCAACCUUGAAAUACCACCCUUUAAUGUUUGAUGUUCUAACGUUGGCCCCUGACCGGGGUUGCGGACAGUGUCUGGUGGGUAGUUUGACUGGGGCGGUCUCCUCCCAAAGCGUAACGGAGGAGCACGAAGGUUAGCUAAUCCUGGUCGGACAUCAGGAGGUUAGUGCAAUGGCAUAAGCUAGCUUGACUGCGAGCGUGACGGCGCGAGCAGGUGCGAAAGCAGGUCAUAGUGAUCCGGUGGUUCUGAAUGGAAGGGCCAUCGCUCAACGGAUAAAAGGUACUCCGGGGAUAACAGGCUGAUACCGCCCAAGAGUUCAUAUCGACGGCGGUGUUUGGCACCUCGAUGUCGGCUCAUCACAUCCUGGGGCUGAAGUAGGUCCCAAGGGUAUGGCUGUUCGCCAUUUAAAGUGGUACGCGAGCUGGGUUUAGAACGUCGUGAGACAGUUCGGUCCCUAUCUGCCGUGGGCGCUGGAGAAUUGAGGGGGGCUGCUCCUAGUACGAGAGGACCGGAGUGGACGCAUCACUGGUGUUCGGGUUGUCAUGCCAAUGGCACUGCCCGGUAGCUAAAUGCGGAAGAGAUAAGUGCUGAAAGCAUCUAAGCACGAAACUUGCCCCGAGAUGAGUUCUCCCUGAGACUAUAAGUCUCCUGAAGGAACGUUGAAGACGACGACGUUGAUAGGCCGGGUGUGUAAGCGCAGCGAUGCGUUGAGCUAACCGGUACUAAUGAACCGUGAGGCUUAACCUU